rnacentral:rRNA from 1 species
AUGGCGCCCGCCCGAGCAGCCCUCCUCGCCUUCCUCGUGGCCGCGCUGCUCCCGCUCGCCCUGUCCCGGGGGCAGGGGCGUGGCCCGCACCUGCCGGGGCACGGCCUGGUCCACCGUCACGGGCCUGGCAUCGGUCACCACGCCCACGCGCCGCUCGGCGGUGGCGCCUGGGCCUCCGCGCACGCCACCUUCUACGGAGGCGGUGACGCCUCCGGCACCAUGGGUGGGGCGUGCGGCUACGGGAACCUCUACAGCACGGGGUACGGCUCCAACACGGCGGCCCUGAGCACGGCACUCUUCAACAACGGCCUCAGCUGCGGGGCCUGCUUCGAGGUGCGGUGCGACCCCGGCGGCACCGAGGCCGGCGCGCCGCACGCCUGCCUCCCCGGCUCCACCGUGGUGACCGCCACCAACUUCUGCCCGCCCAACUUCGCCGAGUACUCCGACGCCGGCGGCUGGUGCAACCCUCCCCGCGCCCACUUCGACAUGUCCCAGCCCGUCUUCCAGCGCAUCGCGCUCUACCGGGCCGGCAUUGUCCCCGUCUCCUACCGCAGGGUGGCGUGCCAGAAGAAGGGCGGCAUCCGGUUCACCAUCAACGGCCACUCCUACUUCAACCUGGUGCUCGUCACCAACGUGGGCGGCCCCGGCGACGUGCACGCGGUGUCCGUCAAGUCCACGCGCUCGGGGUGGCAGUCGCUCUCCCGCAACUGGGGGCAGAACUGGCAGAGCAACGCGCUGCUCGACGGGCAGGGCCUCUCCUUCCGCGUCACGGCCGGCAACGGCCAGUCCGUCGUCUCCAACAACGCCGUGCCGCGCGGCUGGUCCUUCGGCCAGACCUUCAGCGGCGCCCAGUUUCACUGA